GCGGAAGUAGCUCAGCGGUAGAGCGCCGCCUUGCCAUGGCGGGGGUCGCGGGUUCAAAUCCCGUCUUCCGCUCCA
rnacentral:tRNA from 2 species